UCUCCGUUGGUGAACCAGCGGAGGGAUCAUUACCGAGUUUACAACUCCCAAACCCCCUGUGGACUUAUACCAUUUACUGUUGCUUCGGCCCGUCAUGGCCCCGGGGCCGGACAGCGUACGCCGUCGAGCCUCGGCUGCCCGGCCCCGGAAACAGGCGCCCGCCGGGGAACUCAAACUCUUCUGUAUUUCUUUAUCUAAUAUAUACUGUCAGAGUAAAAACUAAAAUGAAUCAAAACUUUCAACAACGGACCUCUUGGUUCUG
rnacentral:misc_RNA from 1 species